rnacentral:rRNA from 1 species
GGACAGGAAUAACCUUGGGAAACUGAGAAUAAUGCCCGACAGAACAUUAUACCUGGAACGGUUUAUGUUUCAAAUGAUUUAUCGCCGUAGGAUGGGACUGCGGCCUAUCAGUUUGUUGGUGAGGCAAUGGCCCACCAAGACUAUUACAGGUACGGGCUCUGAGAGGAGUAGCCCGGAGAUGGGUACUGAGACACGGAUCCAGGCCCUAUGGGGCGCAGCAGGCGAGAAAACUUUGCAAUGUGCGAAAGCACGACAAGGUUAAUCCGAGUGGCUUCUGCUAAAGAAACCUUUUGCUAGUCCUAGAAACACUAGUGAAUAAGGGGUGGGCAAGUUCUGGUGUCAGCCGCCGCGGUAAAACCAGCACCUCAAGUGGUCAGGAUGAUUAUUGGGCCUAAAGCAUCCGUAGCUCGUUUUGUAAGUUUUCGGUUAAAUCCAUACGCUCAACGUAUGGGCUGCCGGGAAUACUGCAUAACUAGGAAGUGGGAGAGGUAGACGGUACUCGGUAGGAAGGGGUAAAAUCCUUUGAUCUAUUGAUGACCACCUGUGGCGAAGGCGGUCUACCAGAACACGUUCGACGGUGAGGGAUGAAAGCUGGGGGAGCAAACCGGAUUAGAUACCCGGGUAGUCCCAGCUGUAAACUAUGCAAACUCAGUGAUGCAUUGGCUUGUGGCCAAUGCAGUGCUGCAGGGAAGCCGUUAAGUUUGCCGCCUGGGAAGUACGUACGCAAGUAUGAAACUUAAAGGAAUUGGCGGGGGAGCACCACAAGGGGUGAAGCCUGCGGUUC